CGUAGGGGGCGAGCGUUGUCCGGAUUUAUUGGGCGUAAAACGCUUGUAGGCGGCCACAUCGCGUCGGACGUGAAAUCUCCCGGCUCAACUGGGAGGGGUCGUGCGAUACGGAUGGGCUCGAGGCCGGUAGGGGGACGCGGAAUUCCCGGUGUAGUGGUGGAAUGCGUAGAUAUCGGGAGGAACACCAGUGGCGCAGGCGGCGUCCUGGACCGGCACUGACGCUGAGGAGCGAAAGCGUGGGGAGCGAUCCGGAUUAGAUACCCGGGUAGUCCACGCCGUAAACGGUGCGCACUAGGUGUCGGGGGUAUCGACCCCUCCGGUGCCGCAGCUAACGCAUUAAGUGCGCUGCCUGGGGAGUACGGCCGCAAGGCUA
rnacentral:rRNA from 1 species